UAGAGUUUGAUCAUGGCUCAGAUUGAACGCUGGCGGCAUGCCUAACACAUGCAAGUCGCACGCGAAAGGGGGCAACCCUGAGUAGAGUGGCGGACGGGUGAGUAACGCGUAGGAAUCUACCUGGUAGUGGGGGACAACCCGGUGAAAACCGGGCUAAUACCGCAUACGAUCCACGGAUGAAAGCAGGGGACCGCAAGGCCUUGCGCUAUCAGAUGAGCCUGCGUCGGAUUAGCUAGUUGGUGAGGUAACGGCUCACCAAGGCGACGAUCCGUAGCUGGUUUGAGAGAACGACCAGCCACACCGGAACUGAGACACGGUCCGGACUCCUACGGGAGGCAGCAGUGGGGAAUAUUGGAUAAUGGGGSMAMCCYKGAUCCAGCAAUGCCGCGUGUGUGAAGAAGGCCUUCGGGUUGUAAAGCACUUUCGGUGGGGACAAACAAGGCGGAGCUAACAUCUCCGUCCCUGAUGGUACCCAAAGAAGAAGCACCGGCUAACUCUGUGCCAGCCGCCGCGGUAAUUC
rnacentral:rRNA from 1 species